CAGCUCCACCUGGGCAUGGUGGCUCACGCCUGUAAUCCUGGCACUUUGGGAGGCCGAGAAGGGCGGAUCACUUGAGGUCAGGAGUUCUAGACCAGCCUGGCCAACAUGGUGAAACCCCGUUUCUACUAAAAAUACAAAAAUUAGCCAGGGCUGGUGGUGGGCACCUGUAAUCCCAGCUACUCGGGAGGCUGAGGCAGGAGAAUUGCUUGAACCUGGAGGUGGAGGUUGUGGUGAGCCGAGAUCACGCCACUGCACUCCAGCCAAACAGCAAGACUCUGUCUCCAAAAAAAAAAUACAGCUCCAUAAUAGACAAUUUAUCAUCCUGGAAGUUAAGCAAAUAAUCAAAAUCUAUACAGUGUUUGAACUGUUUCUCAAGCCCCCUACUUAGACAUUGCCAUUUUUCUGUAUCAGUAACUAAUUUGAUGCCUAUAAUAUACAUUUGAAAUGUCUGACCUCCACUCUUCUCUCUUCUUUCCUGGAGAACUGUCCGGUCAUUCAUGAGGAUGAGUGUCCCCAGAUGUGCCUGUCUCAGGGCACCCUCUCCUGGGCACACCUGAUUGGAUCAAGCUGUGCACCUGACCCAGGCUGGGACAACCAAAUUCCCUCUCCCAGGAAUCUGGUAUUGGACUGAGGACAGCCACUCACCUUUGGCUAAUCUCUUUAGGAGAGAAGAUGUAGAUGUGAUAGUUGUUGAGGGAUUAUCCUCUGCCCAGCUACUCACAGAGAAGAAAGUGGAUUGCAGAGGGAGACACGAAGCAGAGAAGAAAGCUGGAGAAGGUGGACUGUCUAGGUUCCUAGCAGCUUCUCGGGCUACCUUGAGGCCAUCUGCCCUUGGACUUCAUGAGAUACUGCUAUACUCUUCUAUGUCCCUUAAUGCUUACGUCAGCUCAAGUUGAUUACUUCCAACCAAAAGGACUUAACUCAGACAAGGACAAAGCCAAGACCAUCAGUGAGGUUUUUUUCUUUAUAACCAGGUCCCUUACAGCAUCCUGGGGAGCACUGUAGGUCCUAAAUACACAUUAUUCACAUUAUUCACUCUCCAAAGGCUUCCAUUAGGCAAAAACAUCUUCUCAUCCAAGGCCAACUAGAUUAGGAAAUGGCAUUUCUUAUGGCUUUCCAUCCCCAGAGGGCAAAUGCACAGAUGACUGCAGUUAGCAAUUGACUCUGUGGGUUAGUAUUUGCUGAGGGCACACACCCUGAGACUUGAAUGACAGAAAUCCCCAGGUGCCAAGGAGGAGACUGGCAAUUAUGCCUCCAAUCACCUCCCUGUUCUGCCGCCCUCUAAAUCAGCACUCCCCACCGCGGUGACCCUCAAUGACUGGCAAGACGACCCAUUUUUAAAGGGCCAAUUUUUAACAGCUGGAAACAAUAAACGUCGUGGGAGGUGAAGAUGCUGGGAGGACUGAUUUCUCCUUCGCUGUUUUCAAAAGUCAAAAGAUGCUGGGUGUAAUGGCAACAGCCACAGAAAGUUAGCACAACUCCUGCCACGGAGCAGCUGUGUGAUGGUGGCUUCCCCAGUCCCCCUCCCUGGGCCUCGGUUCUUACAGCUGCAAAAUGAGGAGGUAGAAUGAGAUGCUCUUUAAUAUCCCUUUCAUCUUCAACUUUCUACAAUUCUUGUAAGCUGGAAAGAUGUACACAGAACUUCAUCUUGAUUUUAUUACUUGUAGUCCAUCUUCUUGUGACAGAGCCAGCGGCAGCUUGUGCAUGUGAAAGCUUUGAUCAAAAUCAACCAUUCCUUUCCAAAAUUCAGAAGCUUCCACAACAAGAACAAAAAUGAAAAGAAGAAAGAUGAAAAUACACUACAAUGUCACGGUCAUUUGCACCAGUUUCCUGUGUACAGCUCUGCUGCUCUACGCUCAUUUCUCAAUCAGGUUUUGUCUCUCUUUUUUGCAUUAAAAGCUGAGAGAGGAGCUAAAACUGCCCUGAGAAGCUCCCCCGGGACCCUGCCUGAUCAUCAGGGGAAUGGGGCCUACCUCAGCAGUCUACUUUCUUCAUUCAGCCCUAUAGCCUCAGGAGAGAAGUUUGUCUCGCUCAGAGGAAGCAGUGGCCGCUCUGUCCCAUACCCUGUCAGGCCAUUUCCCAUAGGAGACUGGACCUAGGGUGUGUGCUCAGGGUCCCAGUUUCUGCGGCGUUGAGCGGGUCCGGUACUCCUUUCCACACCAGGCUGAACCCCAAGGAAGCGAAUCCAUGUCCUCGUGGAAGAAUAGGCCCCAAAGUGCCAAGCAUCAGCCCCGUCAGUGCUGCCUGGAGAGCCGCCUGUGUCCUGCAGAACUUACACCCAUGCAAGAGUGCACCCACUCAGCAAAUGCGGGACACCGUCAGGAAGAACAAGACAUCCUUGCUUCAGCUUCCCUCCUGUCACCUUUCCACUUCCCUUUGGGGAAGGUGUGCCUGGGUUUGCACACGGACUGGGGCCCCAUCCCUGUUCCCCGCUGUGUGUGGCAGGGCAAGGGAAUGCAUUUUUAAAUACCUUUCAGGCUAGGAUUCCUUUUUUUUUUUUGAUGGCAUACUCUAACUCCAACAUUUCUUCUGUAAGUAUCACCAGUUAUUUUACUAAAAUCUAGAUUUCCCAAUCCAAGUGUUAGGAAGGUACUAUGCUGCUGCUGCUUUGGGGCUUUCUGUCUGGCAACAUCUAUAAACAGUGCAAUAGUGACUGUAGUCAGUUUCACGGUCUCAUGUCUGAAUCUUUUUUUUUUUUUUUUUGACAGAGUCCCACUCUGUCUUAGCCUCCCAAGUAGCUGGGAUUACAGGCGCCUGCCUCCACGCCCAGCUAAUUUUUUAUUUUUAGUAGAGAGGGG
rnacentral:lncRNA from 10 species